CCUUCUACCAGUCUAGCCCCUUUGCUGUACGACUGCUGAGGUCCGCUCCAGACCCUGCUUGUCUGGGGUGCACCUCUAGCAGCUGUGGCACAGCGAGGGAUGCUACCAGUUUCUUUUUCUGCUCUCUUUGUCCCAGGAUGAUGCCUGCCUAAUGUCAGUCUUUUGGAUAUAGAGGGGUCGUGUAGCUGCUUGAGGAGACAGUUUGUACUUUAUAGGGGUUUAAUUGCUGAGCUGUGCACUCUGUUGUUCAUUCAGGGCUGUUAGGCUGCUAUGUUUGAUUCUGCUGCAACAGAGCUCAUUAAAAAACCCUUUUUUUUUUUUUUCAAAUGCUCUUUGUUGAGGGGUUUGGGCUUUAUUUUUGGAUGUUCGAUGAGGUGUCCUGCCCAGCUAGAAGGCAGACUAGCCACUGUUUGGCUGCCGAGGCUCCGCCCUGCUGUUGUGUGAUUCACCCUGUUGUGCAGGCUCUGCUGUUCUGCUGUGUUCUCUGCCACGCCCUGCGGCGGAGUCUCUUCGUUGUAGCGUGUUGCCUCAGCAACGGCAGGCUGCGUCAGCAGUGGGCGUGUAUCUCAGUAGGGACGGGUUGCCUCGGCAACGGCUGGCUGCGUCAGCAGUGGGCGUGUAUCUCAGUUGGGGCGGGUUGCCUCAGCAACGGCUGGCUGCGUCAGCAGUGGGCGUGUAUCUCAGUUGGGGCGGGUUGCCUCGGUAGUGGUGGACGCCCCUCCCCCACAGAGCGUCUCGGACCGUCUGCUCAGGAUAGUUUGAAAUCGCGGUUUUGUUCGUCCCACUGGGUAUCCCAAACCAUCUGUCCCUGCAAUCCCCUGGGCUGGGCUACUGUCCAAGUCUCGUUCAGUCUCAAGUCCAGCCCUCUCAAGUCUCAGGUUCGUGGUUCAACAGGGCACCCGGACAAGCGCGCCCUGUGGGGGAUUGCUGGGUGGGGCCGGCCGCCGCCGCCCCGGCUGCCGGCUUCGCCAGGCAGACCUACUGCCUGGCGUCCCGUGUCUUUUUGUACUUGGGAGUUUCCCCGUUCUGUGGGCAACAAAAAUCAGUCUGUAAAUGCAGCUCUGACUCACCGUUUGCAGAUUCAACGCGAG
rnacentral:lncRNA from 13 species